CCUACGGGAGGCAGCAGUGAGGAAUAUUGGUCAAUGGACGCAAGUCUGAACCAGCCAUGCCGCGUGCAGGAAGACUGCUCUAUGAGUUGUAAACUUCUUUUGUACGGGGGUAAACCCAGAUACGCGUAUCUGUCUGAAAGUAUCGUACGAAUAAGGAUCGGCUAACUCCGUGCCAGCAGCCGCGGUAAUACGGAGGAUUCAAGCGUUAUCCGGAUUUAUUGGGUUUAAAGGGUGCGUAGGCGGUCGGAUAAGUUAGAGGUGAAAUCCCGAGGCUCAACACCGGAACUGCAUCUAAUACUGUUGAACUAGAGAGUAGUAGAGGUAGGUGGAAUGUAUGGUGUAGCGGUGAAAUGCUUAGAGAUCAUACAGAACACCGAUUGCGAAGGCAGCUUACCAAACUAUAACUGACGUUGAGGCACGAAAGCGUGGGUAGCAAACAGGAUUAGAUACCCGGGUAGUC
rnacentral:rRNA from 1 species